AAACCCCCAACCUCAAGCUCAAGCCCAUAAUCGAUUAUCUAUUUACCCAAAAUUCCCAAAUCCCAAAUUGAAAUCGUCUCCGUCUCUCUCGCUCGAUUUCUCCUUGCAGUUCCGGACUUCCAUUUUCAGAAUCCCAGAUUUCCUCUUCUUGGCUUGGCUAGUUGGCUUCGCUCAGUUCGCUGGAGCCUGGAGUCCCACUGGCCACUUUCUCAGACUCCCAGUGAGUUCAAACACCGAGUGGCGUCCUGCCUCCAAUGCCCACAGGCCAAAGCGUGAUUUUUCAAGCGCUCUUUGUACCUGGGCUUCAUCUGAGAUCUGACAUAUCGCUUCUGACUUCUGUCGAGUGGCUGGGCAUUUUUGUUGUCGAACGAGUGAGUUCGAGUUCCCUUCCCCAGAUCAAAUUUAGCAACCCCUAUUCAUCAAUCUGACUAAAUCAUGGAUGGUGGAAAAUUGUUAGAGCUUGGUGUGCCACAUGAUGUAGUUGAGCCAUUGUUAGUUGCAUCUGACUCUUCUACUUUAGAAAAAGCGCUAGUGCGUCUCAUUGAAAUUUCUAGAACUCCUGAUGGCCGGUCAGACCUCGCUUCCAAGAAUGCCUUGGUGCCAACCCUUACGCUAUGUCAAUCCCUAUGUUCCCCUCCUUUGCGUCACUUUCUUUUGUUGUCCCAAAAGCUGCUCAGAAACCUGUGUGCAGGAGAAAUAGAUAAUCAGAACUUAUUUAUUGAACAAACUGGUGUUGGAAUUGUUUCAAGUAUCUUUAAUGCUGUAGUUCUAGCUUCUGGUUCUGACUAUGAGAUUAUUCGUUUGAGUCUGCAACUUUUGGGAAAUGUCUCGUUGGCUGGGGAAGAACAUCAGCUUGCUGUUUGGCAACAUUUCUUUCCGCUUGAGUUUUUGGAAAUUGCUAAAGUUCGAAGCAAAGAAACAUGUGAUCCUUUGUGCAUGGUUAUCUAUACAUGUUGUGAAGGUAAUAAUGAACGAAUGAUCGAACUGUUUACGGAUCAAGGGCUACAAUUAGUGGUGGAAAUUAUACGGACCGCAACAUUAGAUGGAUUUAAGGAAGAUUGGCUGAAGUUGCUUCUCUCAACAAUUUGCCUGGACAAGUCUUACUUCGCACCAAUUUUCUCUAAAUUAUUCCUGGUUAGUUCAGCCGAGAACUUUGAUAGUGAUAUAUCCACCGGUAACCACUUCGGAGGAGAGCAUGCAUUUUUGUUGAGUGUUCUUUCUGAAAUCUUGAAUGAGCGAAUCAUGGAUGUUACAGUGUCCAAUGAUUUUGCUUUGUCUGUUCUUGGAAUAUUUAGAAAGGUUGUUGGGGUUGUUGACUUUGUUGAAACACCAAAGUCUGGUCUUCCUACAGCCUUAGCUGAGGUUGAUGUUCUAGGAUACUCCCUGACCAUUUUGAGAGAUGUCUGUGCCUGUGGCGGUGUUAAAGGGUCUAAUGAGGAUGUCUCUGGGGAUCUUGUGGAUGUGUUAGUGUCUUCUGGGCUUAUUGAAUUGCUUUUAAGCUUGCUUCGGGACCUAGAACCUCCAUUAAUAAUUAGGAAAACAAUGAGACAGAGUGAGAACCAAGAAGCAACAAUGUCUAGCUUAUCCAAGCGUUGCCCUUACAAAGGUUUUAGGAGAGAUGUUGUGGCCAUUAUUGGAAAUUGCAGCUACCGCAGGAAACAUGUUCAGAGUAAAAUAAGAGAGCAGGAUGGGAUCCUUCUGUUACUACAACAGUGUGUCUCCGAUGAAGAUAAUCCAUUCUUGAGGGAGUGGGGAAUUUGGUCGGUAAGAAAUAUAUUGGAAGGGAAUAGAGAAAACCAGCAAGUUGUUGCCAAUUUGGAACUUCAAGGAUCUGUAGAUGUGCCUGAAAUUGCUCAACUAGGUCUCCGAGUAGAAGUGGAUCCUGAAACACGACGUGCAAAGCUUGUAAAUGUGUGAUGGUGGUGCUGACUGCUGAAUGUGAUCGACGACCAAAUUAAGGAGAAAAACAGCAACAGACUCAAGAGGCAUGAACCUGAAAGAUUUUCCGCAUUGCCAGGGGUCUGAUGGAGAAAUUAGGUUUAAUCUAUUUUGCAAGUUGGAUUGGAGCUCCGGAAACUCUCAAGAUUUAGAUGCACAUGGCUGUCGCCUUAUAUGAAUAUUACAGUCUCGCUGCAGUGCCUGAAUUUUUUUGACAGAUGGGGUGACUGCUUCUCACAAUGGUGGUGCGCUACUUAUUUUUUGGACUUUUUUGUUCACGCAAGACCCAUGGCAUGUGAGAGGAUGUCAACCAUUUGGGUAAAGUAGCAAAAUUCUUGAAUACUAACAGGGGAGGGAACUUCAGUUAAAUAUACUUUUUAUUAUUUUUAUUUACUGAGAAUGAUUUUUCAACAACGUUUCAAGUCUAUUCUUGUAUGCUAUUUGUUGAUGACAUAUAGAAGCUGGGAAAGAUCAAUGCGAGAGCAUAUUCUUCUAUUUUUUUUAUUUAA